GACGAACGCUGGCGGCGUGCUUAACACAUGCAAGUCGAACGGAAAGGCCCUGCUUUUGUGGGGUGCUCGAGUGGCGAACGGGUGAGUAACACGUGAGUAACCUGCCCUUGACUUUGGGAUAACUUCAGGAAACUGGGGCUAAUACCGGAUAGGAGCUCCUGCUGCAUGGUGGGGGUUGGAAAGUUUCGGCGGUUGGGGAUGGACUCGCGGCUUAUCAGCUUGUUGGUGGGGUAGUGGCUUACCAAGGCUUUGACGGGUAGCCGGCCUGAGAGGAUGACCGGCCACAUUGGGACUGAGAUACGGCCCAGACUCCUACGGGAGGCAGCAGUGGGGAAUAUUGCACAAUGGGCGGAAGCCUGAUGCAGCAACGCCGCGUGCGGGAUGACGGCCUUCGGGUUGUAAACCGCUUUCGCCUGUGACGAAGCGUGAGUGACGGUAAUGGGUAAAGAGGCACCGGCUAACUACGUG
rnacentral:rRNA from 1 species